rnacentral:rRNA from 1 species
AACGAACGCUGGCGGCAUGCCUAACACAUGCAAGUCGAACGAGACCUUCGGGUCUAGUGGCGCACGGGUGCGUAACGCGUGGGAACCUGCCCUUAGGUUCGGAAUAACUCCCCGAAAGGGGUGCUAAUACCGGAUAAUGUCUUCGGACCAAAGAUUUAUCGCCUUUGGAUGGGCCCGCGUUGGAUUAGCUAGUUGGUAGGGUAAAAGCCUACCAAGGCGACGAUCCAUAGCUGGUCUGAGAGGAUGAUCAGCCACACUGGGACUGAGACACGGCCCAGACUCCUACGGGAGGCAGCAGUGGGGAAUAUUGGACGAUGGACGAAAGCCUGAUCCAGCAAUGCCGCGUGAGUGAUGAAGGCCUUAGGGUUGUAAAGCUCUUUUACCCGGGAUGAUAAUGACAGUACCGGGAGAAUAAGCUCCGGCUAACUCCGUG